GAGACGAGUUCUUGAUUUUCAGUUUGUUCAGCAUUUUUCUUGUUAGAGGAAGAAUGAUGCCUUCUAAGCUGUUUAUAUUUUGUAUAAGAAAGUGGAAGUCCUAGCCUUUUUAUUUUUAACCAUUCAUAGCCAAAGCUGAAAUAGGAGCAGACAUUCUGCCUUCAAGUUGGAAGUUGAACAGCAGAGCAGCAGAGAUUGAAAGAUGUUGGUGGAGAAGCAUUUUACCCAUUACUUGAAGAUGACCAGUCUAAUUUACCUCAUUCAAACAGCAAUAAUGAGUUGUCUGCAGCUGCCACGCUCCCUUUAAUCAUCAGAGAGAAGGAUACAGAGUACCAACUAAAUAGAAUUAUUCUCUUCGACAGGCUGCUAAAGGCUUAUCCAUAUAAAAAAAACCAAAUCUGGAAAGAAGCAAGAGUUGACAUUCCUCCUCUUAUGAGAGGUUUAACCUGGGCUGCUCUUCUGGGAGUUGAGGGAGCUAUUCAUGCCAAGUACGAUGCAAUUGAUAAAGACACUCCAAUUCCUACAGAUAGACAAAUUGAAGUGGAUAUUCCUCGCUGUCAUCAGUACGAUGAACUGUUAUCAUCACCAGAAGGUCAUGCAA
rnacentral:lncRNA from 1 species